rnacentral:lncRNA from 1 species
AGUUACUGGGCAGGAGUAGUAACCAGACUAAAUCGGGUACGUUUUUUAUCCGGCCGUGUCAAUACUGCCCCCUAGCCCUAACAGGUUAAAAUGUGUUUUUAUAUGACAGAAUGUUAAAACUAGAUGAAGUUAUAGUUAUGAAUAUAAACUGGUAAUGAGGUGUAGUUUUAGUUAUGAAUAUUACCUGGUAAUGAGGUGUGGUUUUAGUUAUGAAUAUAAACUGGUAAUGAGGUGUAGUUUUAGUUAUGAAUAUUAGCUGGUAAUGAGGUGUAGUUUUAGUUAUGAAUAUUAACUGGUAAUGAGGUGUAGUUUUAGUUAUGAAUAUUAGCUGGUAAUGAGGUGUAGUUUUAGUUAUG